UACGUAGGGUGCAAGCGUUAAUCGGAAUUACUGGGCGUAAAGCGUGCGCAGGCGGCUUUGCCAGACAGAUGUGAAAUCCCCGGGCUUAACCUGGGAACUGCAUUUGUGACUGCAAGGCUGGAGUGCGGCAGAGGGGGAUGGAAUUCCGCGUGUAGCAGUGAAAUGCGUAGAUAUGCGGAGGAACACCGAUGGCGAAGGCAAUCCCCUGGGCCUGCACUGACGCUCAUGCACGAAAGCGUGGGGAGCAAACAGG
rnacentral:rRNA from 1 species